rnacentral:rRNA from 1 species
GACGAACGCUGGCGGUGUGCCUAAUACAUGCCAGUUGAGCGCUGAAGGUUGGUACUUGUACCAACUGGAUGAGCAGCGAACGGGUGAGUAACGCGUGGGGAAUCUGCCUUUGAGCGGGGGACAACAUUUGGAAACGAAUGCUAAUACCGCAUAAAAACUUUAAACACAAGUUUUAAGUUUGAAAGAUGCAAUUGCAUCACUCAAAGAUGAUCCCGCGUUGUAUUAGCUAGCUGGUGAGGUAAAGGCUCACCAAGGCGAUGAUACAUAGCCGACCUGAGAGGGUGAUCGGCCACAUUGGGACUGAGACACGGCCCAAACUCCUACGGGAGGCAGCAGUAGGGAAUCUUCGGCAAUGGACGAAAGUCUGACCGAGCAACGCCGCGUGAGUGAAGAAGGUUUUCGGAUCGUAAAACUCUGUUGGUAGAGAAGAACGUUGGUGAGAGUGGAAAGCUCAUCAAGUGACGGUAACUACCCAGAAAGGGACGGCUAACUACGUG